GAUCUGUGUAAGGCAGAUCCGAAAUUUUCACUACUGACAGAGAUUUUUAAUCUCUGGUUAACAUCCGGAACAGUUCCUGACCAAGUAAAGAACUGCCGCACGGUCCUGCUUCCGAAGUCGGACCGGCCAGACCGUCUGAAGGACAUUAACAACUGGAGGCCUAUCACCAUCGGCUCAACGGUGUUGAGACUGUUCUCCAGAGUCCUGACAGCACGUCUGAGCAAGGCUUGCCCCAUCAAUCCUCGUCAAAAGGGAUUCACAAGGGCACCGGGAUGUUCCGAGAAUCUCCAGCUCCUGCAAUUGUUGCUGAAGACCGCAAAGAGGGAGCACAACGAGAUCGCAGUUGUUUUUGUGGACAUUGCCAAAGCCUUUGACACAGUGAGUCACCAGCAUAUUAUAGAGAGCCUAAGGCAGAGGAAAGUAGAUGAGCACAUCAUUAAUCUCAUCCAAAGCAUGUAUGUGAACACCUCUACAUGCAUUAAGACCCAGGAUGAGACAUCAGCUCCCAUUAAUAUACUAAAGGGAGUCAAACAGGGGGAUCCUAUGUCCCCAUUGCUCUUUAACCUCGCGCUAGACCCUCUUCUGUGUAAAUUAGAAAAGGAAGGACAGGGAUAUAAAUGUGAGGAUGCCAAGAUAACAGCUAUGGCUUUUGCAGAUGAUUUAGUGUUACUAAGCGACUCCUGGGAGGGGAUGAUGCAUAACAUCAAGAUCCUUGAGACUUUUUGUGACAUCACCGGUCUCAAGACGCAGGGGGAGAAAUGCCAUGGCUUCUACAUCAAGCCAACUAAGGAAUCUUAUACCAUCAAUGACUGCCCCCCAUGGACUGUGAAUAAUACACCCCUCAACAUGAUACCCCCAGGAGAAUCGGAAAAAUACCUCGGGCUGCAAGUGGACCCCUGGGUUGGCAUUGCCCAGGCUGAACUGCUAGCUAAAACCAACACAUGGCUGGAAAGGAUAGGAAGAACAAAACUAAAACCACUGCAAAAAGUAGAUCUGUUAAAAAUGUACACCAUCCCCAGACUAUACUACAUCGCUGACCACACAGAUACACCAUUCGUACUCCUCAAAAACAUCGAUCAAGCGGUACGGACGAAGGUAAAAGAGUGGCUUCAUUUACCAGCCUGCACUUGUGACGCUUUGCUGUAUUCCAGCACAAGGGAUGGGGGCUUAGGAAUCUCUCGGUUAGAGGGUCUUAUCCCCAGCAUCCAGGCCAGGAGACUGCACAGACUGGCUCAAUCAAAGGAUGAAAUUCUUACAAACCUCCUUAAGGGAGAAGGUGCAGAUCUCAGACAUAAGAAACUGUGGGUUAAAGCUGGAGGUGAUAAAACGAAGAUUCCAUCAAUCUGGACAACCAGACCAACGGUUGCAGUACAAGCGCCUACAAGUGAAAAUCUAUCAGAAUGGGAAGUUCCGACCGCAAAACUGAAAUACCCCAAACCCUGUAACUUAAGGAAAAAGGAAUUUGAAAAGUGGAAACAGCUAGUAUCUCAGGGCAGAGGGAUCACACACUUCGAGAACGAUUCCAUCAGUAAUGCCUGGCUUACAUCAUACAGGGCCAUACAUCACAGAAAAUUAAUAACAGCUCUUCAACUCCGUGCCAACGUAUAUCCCACCCGUGAAUUUUUAGCAAGAGGAAGAGGAGGUCAAUAUAUCAAAUCAUGCAGACACUGUAAUGCAGAAAAUGAAACCUGUUCACACAUCAUAGGAAAAUGCCCGGUAACACAAGAUGCAAGGAUACAGAGGCACAACAAGAUCUGUGACCUCCUGACCAACAUAGCUCAGCGCAAAGAUUGGACUGUUUUUCAUGAGCCUCACAUCAGAGACUCAAAUGGACAAUUAUUCAAACCGGAUCUCAUUUUUGUCAAGGACAAUCAGGCACAGGUGGUGGAUGUUACUGUAAGAUAUGAAUCGGAGGAAAGCACCUUGGAAAAUGCUGCAGAGGAGAAAGUCUCAAAAUAUCAACAUUUAGAAAAAGAAAUACAAGAACUCACAAAUGCUCAACAGGUUACAUUUAUUGGUUUUCCAUUAGGAUCAAGGGGAAAGUGGUAUCCUGGGAACAGUAUGCUCCUAGAGACUCUGGGACUUUCUAAAAGGGAGCAGGACAGGACUUCUAAGACUCUUGCGUCCAGAGCGCUGGAGUCCUCAGUGGAUAUUAUCCACAUCUUCGCGAGCAAGACUCGCACACCUGGAUAGAUAGUAAAACUCUGUAUUAGUUAGAUUACAGUUAUUUUUUUUAGGUUAAGCAUAUUUUAGUUAGUUUCUUUCUGUAUUAGUUAGUAUUGUUGCUGAUUAGUUCUUAUAUGUUUCUUUAUAUUUUUGAAUGCUUUUAUCACUGUAUAUACGUUAUAUUUUUCAAUAAAGGUGUGGGAGUAGCUGGAUAGAUAGGGAACCCCCACCCCAUCCCCCGCCCCCCAUUUUCUGUUCCAUCCUGAGUGAUGGAUGUAUCAUCCGACAUGCGACGUUACACCUAAUUUGGCACUAAAAUCUCACGUUUGUGACA